AAUGAACGCUAGCGGGAGGCCUAACACAUGCAAGCCGAGCGGUAUUGUUUCUUCGGAAAUGAGAGAGCGGCGUACGGGUGCGGAACACGUGUGCAACCUGCCUUUAUCUAGAGGAUAGCCUUUCGAAAGGAAGAUUAAUACUCUAUAAUAUAUUAAUUGGCAUCAAUUGAUAUUGAAAACUCCGGUGGAUAGAGAUGGGCACGCGCAAGAUUAGCUAGUUGGUGAGGUAACGGCUCACCAAGGCAAUGAUCUUUAGGGGGCCUGAGAGGGUGAUCCCCCACACUGGUACUGAGACACGGACCAGACUCCUACGGGAGGCAGCAGUGAGGAAUAUUGGUCAAUGGGUGCAAGCCUGAACCAGCCUUCCCGCGUGAAGGAUUAAGGUCCUAUGGAUUGUAAACUUCUUUUGUAUAGGGAUAAACCUACCCUCGUGAGGGUAGCUGAAGGUACUAUACGAAUAAGCACCGGCUAACUCCGUGCCAGCCGCCGCGGUAAAAC
rnacentral:rRNA from 1 species